AGACCCGAAACCCGGUGAUCUAGCCAUGGGCAGGUUGAAGGUUGGGUAACACUAACUGGAGGACCGAACCGACUAAUGUUGAAAAAUUAGCGGAUGACCUGUGGCUGGGGGUGAAAGGCCAAUCAAACCGGGAGAUAGCUGGUUCUCCCCGAAAGCUAUUUAGGUAGCGCCUCGUGAAUUCAUCUCCGGGGGUAGAGCACUGUUUCGGCUAGGGGGCCAUCCCGGCUUACCAACCCGAUGCAAACUGCGAAUACCGGAGAAUGUUAUCACGGGAGACACACGGCGGGUGCUAACGUCCGUCGUGAAGAGGGAAACAACCCAGACCGCCAGCUAAGGUCCCAAAGUCAUGGUUAAGUGGGAAACGAUGUGGGAAGGCCCAGACAGCCAGGAUGUUGGCUUAGAAGCAGCCAUCAUUUAAAGAAAGCGUAAUAGCUCACUGGUCGAGUCGGCCUGCGCGGAAGAUGUAACGGGGCUAAACCAUGCACCGAAGCUGCGGCAGCGAACGUAUCACUUAAAGCGAUUCAGCGGGUUACGAUUGACGGAGCGAAGCGACGUCAAAGCGUAUACAAAGUCGAGUCGGUUUAAGGAUACGUUCGUUGGGUAGGGGAGCGUUCUGUAAGCCUGUGAAGGUGUGUCGUGAGGCAUGCUGGAGGUAUCAGAAGUGCGAAUGCUGACAUAAGUAACGAUAAAGCGGGUGAAAAGCCCGCUCGCCGGAAGACCAAGGGUUCCUGUCCAACGUUAAUCGGGGCAGGGUGAGUCGACCCCUAAGGCGAGGCCGAAAGGCGUAGUCGAUGGGAAACGGGUUAAUAUUCCCGUACUUGGUGUUACUGCGAAGGGGGGACGGAGAAGGCUAUGU
rnacentral:rRNA from 1 species